GAGACGGGUGAGUAACGCGUAAGAAUCUAACUUCAGGACGGGGACAACAGUUGGAAACGACUGCUAAUACCCGAUGUGCCGGGAGGUGAAACCUAAUUGGCCUGAAGAAGAGCUUGCGUCUGAUUUAGCUAGUUGGUGGGGUAAAGGCCUACCAAGGCGACGAUCAGUAGCUGGUCUGAGAGGAUGAGCAGCCACACUGGGACUGAGACACGGCCCAGACUCCUACGGGAGGCAGCAGUGGGGAAUUUUCCGCAAUGGGCGAAAGCCUGACGGAGCAACGCCGCGUGAGGGAGGAAGGUCUUUGGAUUGUAAACCUCUUUUCUCAAGGAAGAAAGUUCUGACGGUACUUGAGGAAUCAGCCUCGGCUAACUCCGUGCCAGCAGCCGCGGUAAUACGGGGGAGGCAAGCGUUAUCCGGAAUUAUUGGGCGUAAAGCGUCCCGCAGGUGGUCAGCCAAGUCUGCUGUCAAAUCAGGUUGCUUAACGACCUAAAGGCGGUGGAAACUGGCAGACUAGAGAGCAGUAGGGGUAGCAGGAAUUCCCAGUGUAGCGGUGAAAUGCGUAGAGAUUGGGAAGAACAUCGGUGGCGAAAGCGUGCUACUGGGCUGUAUCUGACACUCAGGGACGAAAGCUAGGGGAGCGAAAGGGAUUAGAUACCG
rnacentral:rRNA from 1 species